CUUCCAUGUCUUUUUAUAAAAUCAUUUCAAUUCCGGCUGGCUGAUGAACUUACAAGUGUAGGUGGUGUGCUACACGAGGGGCAAGUCUUUCGCUAAUACCACAAGGGUCUCUGGCUCCAUGAGGGUAGUUUGAUAGUAAUUUUUGCUACAAGU
ensembl:snoRNA SNORA62 Small nucleolar RNA SNORA62/SNORA6 family